ACAAAUAACAACUAAUUAGUUUAUCGUUGUAAUUAUUAUGUAGUGAUAUUAAUUGAUUUUAAUUGGUUAUUAUGUUCACGAGGCUAUUAUUAUUUUAUCAAUCCGGGGCUUAUUUUUUAGAGUUUUUAAUACAUUUUCGAAGUGAUAAAAGAUUUGUUGAGUCAUUAUUACUCGUAAGCAAAUGGUUUUGUUGCAAAGGUGAUUGAAGAGUAGUUGACCUUUUCUUCAGAAAAUUAAGUCAAUUAUUAUUUGUAGAACACGACAAAAUUAGGCGAAAAAUGUAGCUUGUUGUAAUUAAAAAUGUUACAAUAGAGGUUACGAGCAUUAAAUGUAAUUAUAAAAUGUUAGAAACUUAAUAUAUGGACCCGACGUCCGUGAAAUAAAUGUCAUUGUAUUUUUUAUAUUUUACGCAUCAUUUAUGUUGUUACAAUUGACUGUGUACAAUAGUUUCCAAUAAAAUCGGUUUAAAUAAAUGAUGAGUGUUUUUUAUUGAAAUGUUUUCCUAUUUUUGGAAACCUCAAGGUGAACACAUCUGAGGCAGCAAGAGGUCAAUCGUUGCAACACAGUUCUAUCAAGGUAUCCCCGCUAAAAAAUAAUAAAUCUGAAUUAAGGAAACUAAACCGCACGGAAAUCGAACAUUUAAAUGAUUGCAUGUGAAGUAACAGCGAUUUUAAGGUAAAGUGUGGCAAUAGUGAGUGAACAACUAGCCCAAAAUACCCACCUGAAACUUGACUAAUUGAUUGCAUUUUCCUGUAUUUCGGUGCAAAUUAGCAUUAAUUUGCAUUGAAUGUGGGUGUUUUAAUUUACCAAAACUCAGGGGAGAGAUGAAUGCAUUGGGAAUUUGAUAAAUUUUCUACGAAGUGGGGAUAAUACAAAUUAGUUUUAUAGACUCUUCUAACCUCGUGUGUUGUGGUCCACUGUCAUGAACAUAAUACACUCAACCUUGUCGCUCUCUUAAGAAUAUUUGUUUGUUUAACAAAAGUGACUAAUCCGAAAUGACCAUUUACGGCAAGUUAGUGCAAAUAAUAUUAGUGAAUUAUUUUAAGUGAAGAAGAUGUGUUCGGGUGCUGUGAACAUCCCAAUUAAAUCUCCAUAUUUUUAAUUAUUAAUUAAGUAUGAAUUUAUUUUUGUAAAUAAAGUUUAUUAACUUAA